rnacentral:rRNA from 1 species
CUGUCUUAUAUAUAUUUAUUGAAUUUAACUUUUAAGUGAAAAGGCUUAAAUAAAAUAAAGGGACAAUAAGACCCUAUAAAAUUUAAUAUAAAUUAUAUUAUUUUUUAAAAUUAUUAGUUUAAUAUAAAAUAUAGUAUAGUAUUAUUUUAUUGGGGCGAUAAGAAUAUAAAAAUUAACUGUUCUUUUUUUACCAAUUAAUAAUUGAUUAAAUAGAUCCUUUUUUAAAGAUUUAAAGUUAAAGUUACUUUAGGGAUAACAGCAUAAUUUUUUUUAAGAGUUCUUAUCGAUAAAAAAGAUUGUGACCUCGAUGUUGAAUUAAAAUUUCUUUAUAAUGUAGUAGUUAUAUAAAGAAGGUCUGUUCGACCUUUAAAUUUUUA